rnacentral:lncRNA from 1 species
CCUUAUCCACAAGUCUCUCUGCUCCUCUUUCAAACAUUGUCAAAGGCAAUAUAAUAGUUAAUAUUAUCAACUUCACUGGAUAAAAGAAGGGAACCCUUUACACAUGCUGACUCUGAAAAUCAAGCAUGACUUCCUGGAAAUACCAAAAUAGCAAACAUAUCCUGGAUACUAUCCUGGAAACUAUUGUUUUGCUGAAGUAUAAAUGGUUCUUGGCUGCCUGAUCCCUGCCGCCCAGAUGCUCUCGUCUUUGUCUACGAAGUAUGAAGUGGCAUUUGUCCUGGAGUUCAGGAUUACCAAGAUGUCCACAAUACCUACUACAUCUAACGUUGUCAACGACGUGGAGCAAUGGAACUGUUCUUUCAUCUCUUGUGGAAUUCAAAAUACUAUAGCCACAUUGGGAGACAGCUUAACAGUACAGAUUGAAACAUACUCUACCAUUCGACCCAGAAAUUAUGUCUCUUUUUAUUUAACUAAAUGAAUUAAA